CUGGUAUACAUAUCCUAUAUCCGUUUUCAAUUUUCGUCAACUGCGCCUAGAAAAAUGAAAUGUCCGCUGCAUAGAACACGUUGUUGUCGAUUGGAGUUUGGAGAACUCAAUGCCCUAGAAUCACGUAGAUGUGGGCAUCGAUCUGAUAAAUAAAAAGGUCGAUUAUUUUUCUGUGAGUUAGAAGUUUACAAUCUGAUUUGUUGUUCUCUACUGGACAAGGGACGCCUAACUCCAGAGAUAAACAGAUUGAUUCUGAUUUCUGAAGAGAGGAGACUAGAGGCUUCGAUUUGUGUGGGUUGGAGUUCGAUGGUCUUCACUCUUCUGAGGAGUUUGACUCUCAUCUCAGAAGUUCAAAAAUCUCAAUAGUCGAAAAUUUCAAAAUCUCGGUGAACUUGCAAAAUUGAUUUCAUAAAGGCUUUGAAAAUGGCUGCAUGCCUCAGGGAAAGAAUUAUGGCUCCAUAGAGUUGACAUUUGUGUAUAUUCUUAGUUUUUGAAAUUCAUAGUGGCUUCUUUUGAGAAUUUAUAUUCUUAAUUUUUGUAAAGUCAUAGACUCCAUCUUUCUGAAUACAAGAAAUUAGUGGGAUUAUUCUUACAUGUUGACUCAAGCUUUGUAAUUUCGUUCUGGAAGGAAUUUAAAAUUGUUUAUAAAGGUUUGUAUUCUAUGGA